AUUGAACGCUGGCGGCAGGCCUAACACAUGCAAGUCGAGCGGCAGCGGGAAAGUAGCUUGCUACUUUUGCCGGCGAGCGGCGGACGGGUGAGUAAUGCCUGGGAAAUUGCCCAGUCGAGGGGGAUAACAGUUGGAAACGACUGCUAAUACCGCAUACGCUCUACGGGGGAAAGCAGGGGACCUUCGGGCCUUGCGCGAUUGGAUAUGCCCAGGUGGGAUUAGCUAGUUGGUGAGGUAAUGGCUCACCAAGGCGACGAUCCCUAGCUGGUCUGAGAGGAUGAUCAGCCACACUGGAACUGAGACACGGUCCAGACUCCUACGGGAGGCAGCAGUGGGGAGUAUUGCACAAUGGGGGAAACCCUGAUGCAGCCAUGCCGCGUGUGUGAAGAAGGCCUUCGGGUUGUAAAGCACUUUCAGCGAGGAGGAAAGGUUGAUGCCUAAUACGUAUCAACUGUGACGUUACUCGCAGAAGAAGCACCGGCUAACUCCGUGCCAGCAGCCGCAGUAAGAC
rnacentral:rRNA from 1 species